rnacentral:rRNA from 1 species
UGUUAGACUUUAAGAUUAAGUAGAAAUUUAUUGGUUUGUAGUUAAAUAAUAUAAAAGAAGUUUUUCUGUAAAAGUAAAAGGUGAAAUUAGGUUGCUUUUUAUAGAUAAAUUAUCGUUUGUUUUUGAAGCUAAAAAUUUUUAGAUUUAAACUAGGAUUAGAUACCCUAUUAUACUGGAAAAUAAAAUUAAAACUUGAUUAUUAAUAGUUAUGUUCUUUAAAUUUGAAGAAUUUGGCGGUAGUUUAGUCUUGCUAGAGGAACCUGUUUUUUAAACGAUAAUCCACGCAAUAUCUUACUUAUCUUUGUUUUCAGUUUGUAUACCGUCAUUAACAGAUAAUUUUAAAAGAAAAAAUUGUUGUAUAUUAAUAAAUUAAUAAAAUUAGAUCAAGGUGCAGCUUAUAGAGAAGUUAAAAUGGGUUACAAUAAAAUUUAUUUAUAAUGAAUAAAAUAAAGAACAUUAUUUUUGAAAGAGGAUUUAAUUGUAAUAAAAGUUUAAUAUGCUUUUAUGAGAUAAGCUCUAAAUUAUGUACAUAUUGCCCGUCGCUUUCAUUUAUAAGUGAGAUAAGA